UACAGAGGGUGCAAGCGUUGUUCGGAAUUAUUGGGCGUAAAGCGCGUGUAGGCGGCUUUGCAAGUCGGGUGUGAAAGCCCUCAGCUUAACUGAGGAAGUGCGCCCGAAACUGCAUUGCUUGAGUACCGGAGAGGAUGGCGGAAUUCCCCAAGUAGAGGUGAAAUUCGUAGAUAUGGGGAGGAACACCGGUGGCGAAGGCGGCCAUCUGGACGGAUACUGACGCUGAGACGCGAAAAGCGUGGGGAGACGAAACAGGAA
rnacentral:rRNA from 1 species